UACGAAGGGGGCUAGCGUUGCUCGGAAUCACUGGGCGUAAAGGGUGCGUAGGCGGGUCUUUAAGUCAGGGGUGAAAUCCUGGAGCUCAACUCCAGAACUGCCUUUGAUACUGAAGAUCUUGAGUUCGGGAGAGGUGAGUGGAACUGCGAGUGUAGAGGUGAAAUUCGUAGAGUAUUCGCAAGAACACCAGUGGCGAAGGCGGCUCACUGGCCCGAUACUGACGCUGACG
rnacentral:rRNA from 1 species